rnacentral:rRNA from 1 species
GAUGAACGCUGGCGGCGUGCUUAACACAUGCAAGUCGAACGGUGAAGCCAAGCUUGCUUGGUGGAUCAGUGGCGAACGGGUGAGUAACACGUGAGCAAUCUGCCCUUGCCUCUGGGAUAAGCGCUGGAAACGGCGUCUCAUACUGGAUCUGAGCUGUGGCCGGAUGGUCGGCAGUUGGAAAGAAUUUCGGGCAAGGAUGAGCUCGCGGCCUAUCAGGUCGUUGGUGAGGUAAUGGCUCACCAAGGCGACGAUCAGUAGCCGGCCUGAGAGGGCGGACGGCCACACUGGGACUGAGACACGGCCCAGACUCCUACGGGAGGCAGCAGUGGGGAAUUGUUCGCAAUGGGCGCAAGCCUGACGACGCAACGCCGCGUGGAGGAUGAAGGUCUUCGGAUUGUAAACUCCUUUUGGCCGGGACGAAUGGGCGACGACCUAACACGUCGGAGCAGUGACGGUACCGGUUGAGGAAGCCACGGCUAACUCUGUGCCAGCAGCCGCCGUAA